AAAAAGACAAAUACUGGUUUUCGUGUACAACGUUUAACCGUCCAUCUUAUUUUAAAAAAUUAUGAAAAAAUUAAAAAGACAAGUCACACAUAAAAUAUUAAUCAUGUUUUAUUAUCUAACAACAAUGAAAAUACGAAUUUAAAAAAAAAUUAUAUAAGACGGACAGUUAAAGUUGGACACGGAAAACCAUAGUUUGUCUUUUU
rnacentral:pre_miRNA from 1 species